rnacentral:rRNA from 1 species
AACGAACGCUGGCGGCAGGCUUAACACAUGCGAGUCGAGCGCCCCGCAAGGGGAGCGGCAGACGGGUGAGUAACGCGUGGGAAUCUACCCAUCUCUACGGAAUAACGCAUGGAAACGUGUGCUAAUACCGUAUACGCCCUUCGGGAGAAAGAUUUAUCGGAGAUGGAUGAGCCCGCGUUGGAUUAGCUAGUUGGUGGGGUAAAGGCCUACCAAGGCGACGAUCCAUAGCUGGUCUGAGAGGAUGAUCAGCCACACUGGGACUGAGACACGGCCCAGACUCCUACGGGAGGCAGCAGUGGGGAAUAUUGGACAAUGGGCGCAAGCCUGAUCCAGCCAUGCCGCGUGAGUGAUGAAGGCCCUAGGGUUGUAAAGCUCUUUCACCGGUGAAGAUAAUGACGGUAACCGGAGAAGAAGCCCCGGCUAACUUCGUGCCAGCCGCCGCGGUAACAC